rnacentral:rRNA from 1 species
GUGGGGAAUCUUCCGCAAUGGACGAAAGUCUGACGGAGCGACGCCGCGUGAGUGAAGAAGGCCUUCGGGUCGUAAAGCUCUGUCAUCAGGGACGAACGGCCGGUGGAGUGGAAAGCCACCGGAUUGACGGUACCUGAGAAGGAAGCCACGGCUAACUACGUGCCAGCAGCCGCGGUAAUACGUAGGUGGCAAGCGUUGUCCGGAAUUAUUGGGCGUAAAGCGCGCGCAGGUGGGAUCUUAAGUCCAUUUUUAAAGUUCGGAGCUCAACUCCGUGAUGGGAUGGAAACUGGGAUUCUUGAGUACCGGAGAGGAAAGCGGAAUUCCCCGUGUAGCGGUGAAAUGCGUAGAUAUGGGGAGGAACACCAGUGGCGAAGGCGGCCAUCUGGACCAGCACUGACACUGAGGCACGAAAGCGUGGGGAGCAAACAGGAUUAGAUACCCUAGUAGUCC